rnacentral:rRNA from 1 species
AUUGAACGCUGGCGGCAGGCUUAACACAUGCAAGUCGAGCGAGCGGCGGACGUGUGUGUCAUGUCUGGGAAACUGCCUGAAGGCGGGGGAUAACUACUGGAAACGAGAACUAAUACCGCAUAACCUCACAUGUUUCCAGAUGGGAUUAGAUAGUGGGUGGGGUAAUCGCUCACCUUGGGGACGGUCCCGAGCUGGUCUGAGAGGAUGACCAGCCACACGGGAACUGAGGAACGGUCCAGACUCCUACGGGAGGCAGCAGUGGGGAAUAUUGCACAAUGGGCGCAAGCCUGAUGCAGACAUGCCGCGUGUGUGAAGAAGGCCUUCGGGUUGUAAAGCACUUUCAGCGAGGAGGCGUUACUCGCAGAAGAAGCACCGGCUAACUCCGUGCCAGCAGCCGCGGUAAUAC